CCUGAACAAGAUUUUCCAACCCGUAACCCGUUUUUAUCCGAACCCGAAUAACCCGAAAUUUUCGGGUUAGAAACGGUUCGGGUUCGGUCUGACCCGUCGGGUUUGGUGAUUAAAUGAAAAUUUUGAAAUUAAAAAAAAAAAUGAAAAAACAACCUAAAAACCCUAAAACUAAAGUAUCAGACUUCUGGAGCCGCCGACCAAACACCCAUCUCACUUUCUCUCCCUCUCAUCCUCUCAUGAUCUCAUCCUUCCGAGCUCUAUGAGUCUCUGGUGUAUCGGCAAGGUGACGGUCCGGUCGAGCUCUCAUCCUCCAUUCUAUAAGCGAGGAGGUUCUCCAGCAGGUUGCAUUCCCUUUCUUCGUGGUAAAUCAAUUUUCUCAUCCUCUUCAUCUCCCACUACUUAAGAAGGUAAUCCCGUUAUUAAUUUUAUACUUUAAGAUAGUUAUCAAUUUAUCAUUGAUGGUGGUAACUGGUAAGUCAGUUGAAAUUUCUAGCGAGUUCUAGUCCAUGGUUGAUUUUUUACUUGAUUUAUUCAGGUCGCCUUAGUAGUUGAAAGGGUCGUGAACACAUGAAUUGCUAGAUUGACAUAAUCUCCAGGUUUCUUCAAAGUAACUCUCAUGUCAAGUACCAGUUUGCCUUUGACAAGGAUCUUUGUUAAUUUGGUUGAUACUUGAUAGGGACAGGGAUAACAUUUGAUUUGGAUAUUUGGGUUACAAAUUUACAAUGAAAUUUAAUUUAAUGAUUCAUAAAUUCAUAUU